CCGUGCUAGGCGGGGAAUUAGCGGUGCCCUGCACCCGCAAUCCGCUCUAGCGGGGCUGAAUCCCCUCCCAAGGGGCUCAGGCCCCCGGGGUCAGCGCGCUGUGCCGAGCGUUGAUGGCCGGGUCCCGCACGGUGCCGGCUCGCGAACCAGGUCAGGUCCGGAAGGAAGCAGCCUUAAGCGGUCACCGGCAGGCGUUGCGGGGUCGCCCGUGCCGGAGCCCAGCACAGCGAACGCGCCCGAGGAACCGGCUUCGACGGAGGGUGCACGG
rnacentral:SRP_RNA from 1 species